AGCACGACGGUAUCAAUGGCGAAAAAAAGGCCUCUCUCUGCCGUUCUUCCUCAGCACCGCCCGGGACAAUCUUCUCGAUGCUGUCCAAUUCCCGACCCCGGCAGAUCCUCUUCCUGGAACACUGGCUUCGAGCGGCGGCCGCUGCUGACGCCUCUCAAACUCCUUCUCCUGCUGCUGCUGCUCCUCCUUCGGCGGCUGUGAUCCUCCGGUCGUGGGCCGACCUCCGUGACCCCUCCGCCGACCCUCCUCGCCUACUCUCCGCUCUCCUUACACUCUCCCGCGGCCGCUCCGCCCUCCACGUCUCCGACCCCCAGGCCAAGCUCCUCCUCUCCCUCCUCCCUUCCUCCUCUCCCGACGCCUUCCCCCUCGUCCUUUCCCUCCUCUACACCUAUCUCCGCAAGUCCUCCCGCCCUUCCGCUCCGCUCCUUCUCUCCAUCCUCUCCGUCUCCUCCUCUUUUCCCCCGUCGACUCACUCCAUCCUCCUCCUCGGUGCCCUUUCCGCCUCCCCCGCUCUCCCCGCCUCCGCCCUAUCGCCCUGCCUCGACCACCUCUGCUCUUUCUUGGAUUCCUCCCUGCCCGCGAUUUUCCGUGACGCCGACCUUCUCCCAGAAUUUCUCGCCGGCAUCGGCUACGCCCUCUCCCGAUUGGAGGACGAUGCGCGUCUUGGAAAAAUCCUUAACUUCCUGUUUCGGAUUUGGUCCGCCGAAGCCGGUGGGCUUCGACCCUCGCUCUCCCAUGGCCUUAUGGUUCUUCGCUUGUUCGAGUGGUGCACGUCGGGGUUCCUGGCUUCGAGGUCUUGGAGCAGAAUUGAGUCGCUCUGCGGAGAGAUCUCAGCGAACAAGAGCAAAUCCAGGGGGAAUUUUGCUCCCCUUUUGGUGUUGAUGGCUCCUGCCGGAGUUCUGAGGGCUUUCAGAAGCAAUAGGGUUGAAAUUGACCCUCGGCUGAGGAAGUCUAUCGAAGAGUCGAUAAGUUAUGUCACAGAGUGCACCAUUUCUAGAAUUGGGACUGAUUCUGGUUCUAAUGUAUCGGAUGACAGCCAUGUUCUGCUGCAGUGCAUUGCAAUUGGUUUGGCUCGGUGCGGCUCAAUUUCAUUCAAUGCGUCUGUGCUUCGGUGCCUUUGUCUCUCAUUGUUGAACGAAGUCUUUCCCCUGCAGUAUUUCUUUAGGAUGUCCUUAGAAAAUGUGAAUGAAAAUUUGGCCACCUGCAAGGCAAAGGAGCAUUUAGGUAGUGCCCUUUUUAAAGAAGCAGGUGCAGUGACUGGAGUCUUCUGCAAUCAGUAUGCAUCUGCAGACGAGGUCAGCAAGGCAAUGGUUGAAAACCAUUUGUGGGAUUAUUCUCAACAGGUUUACUCGAAUCUACGUUUAGCAGCAUGGGUUCAUCGAGGGAAGAGUGAUGAGUUGCUCGGGGAUUUGGAAAAGAUUGCCGAAGCUGCAUUCUUGAUGGUAGUUGUUUUUGCUGCAGAGGUUAGCAAACAUAAGUUGAAUAGCAAAUCUUCUCAUGAGUUCAGACCGGAGGUCUCUUCUAGGAUCCUUGUUGCAUUCUCUUGCAUGGAGUAUCUUCGUCGUGUUCGCCUGCCCGAGUAUACCGAGGCAGUUCGCCGUGCUGUUUUAACCCUCCAGGAGAAUGCAGAUUCAUGUGUUUCAUUUGUCGAGUCAAUGCCUCCUUACACCGAGCUAACAAAAGCACAGGGCUCAAUUAUAUUGGAGAGGAUGAGAUAUACUUGGUCACAAGAUGAAGUGCAGACUUCUCGUAUAUUAUUUUACCUGCGGGUUUUGCCAACUUGCAUAAGUUUUGUCCCUACCUCCUUGUUUGGGAAACGAGUAGCACCGACCAUGUUCUUAUAUAUGCAACACCCUAAUGAAAAAGUAACCCGAGCUUCACACUCCAUAUUUGUUUCUUUUGUAUCCUCUGGCAAGGAUUCCGAUCAGGAUGAUAGAGUUGUUUUAAAGGAGCAACUUGUUUUCUAUUACAUGCAGCAAGCUUUGCAGGUUUAUCCCAGGAUUACACCAUUUGAAGGUUUGGCUUCUGGUGUUGCUGCUUUGGUCAGGCAUCUUCCUGCUGGAAGUCCAGCAAUAUUUUAUUGUAUUCAUAGCCUUGUGGCAAAAGCUUCUGACCUUUGUGGGAAAGCCAUGAGUGAAGAUCCAACCAUGUGGAAAAAUUGGGAAGGAAGUUCAGGACCUCCUAAAAAGGUCCUGGAUCUUCUACUUCGCCUCAUUUAUCUUGUAGAUAUACAGGUGUUGCCAUACUUGUUGAAGCAAUUGGCAGAAUUCAUAAUCCAGCUGCCUAAAGAUGGUCAAAAUGCACUACUUGACGAGAUGUAUUUUCAAGUUGCCGAGUCAGAUGAUGUCACUAGAAAACCAGUUCUGGUGUCAUGGCUGCAGUCACUCUCCUUCAUAUGCUCGCAAAAGAAGGCUUCCUCCACAACUGAAGCUGCCGAGAAGCAUGGGAGCUCUGUGCCAAGUAACGAUGGCUUAAGUUGGAAUAGAACUAGCGCUCGGCUCUGAAGGUUUUCUUCUGAGCUCGUACCCCAAGUCGCAUGAAUUUACUUGGGAAAUAAAAGAGAUUCCACAAGGCAUUAUGAUCCAUUAAAUGGUGACUCAGAAAAUUUCUUGCAGUGGGAGUCAUUUUCAAAAGUCAGAUCCUUCAGAAAUGGCCGUUCAACGCAGAGACCUGCUUGCUUGUUCAGAUGGAACCUGAAGAAACGGAGGGUGGCGGCGGCCACAAUCUUCAUCUGCCUGUACGCGAAGUCUUUCCCCAGGCAACUCCGAGGGCCCGCCUAUCACAGAGAAAGAGUUCGAGUUCAGAGAUUCAUCGGAAGAAUGGUCGGCUGAUGUUACUACUGCUGCUUACAUGGAAGGCGACAAACUUGAAUGGACUCUGCGGCUUGAAACUUCCAUUCUCGAUCCAUCUCUCAGGCCUGAAGUCUUCAGCAUCUUCACCCCAAAUGUACGUCAUCCUCCCCAUGGCGUAGGUCAGGUAAGUGAUUCCGUCUCCCUUCUUCACCUCGAAGCCAUCAGGUAGCACAUCAUCUUCGUCUGCACUCUUCCCAUCCUGUCACGAAGCACGCCGUCAGAUAUGAUCUCCCGGAAGCUGAUGCGGGAGAGGUAAUGAUCGUACCACAGGAACAGCUGGAUAGAGCCGUAAGGUCUCGGUGAGCGCGGCAUGGAGAUACUGCAUCUUGUCGAUGGCUUCGUCGGUUAAGCUCAUGGCGAACUCUGCCAUGUCCGACUUGUUUCCUUCCGCCUUGGUCGCGUCUUCCACCUCGGCUGCGACCUUCUCUUGUAUCGAUGGGUGCUUGCACAGCAGGUAGAAGAACCAGGUGAGGGUGUUCGCGGUGGUGUCCUUCCCGGCCAUCAUGAAGUUGAGAAUCACGUCCCUCAGCGCUUCAAACAAGAUCAAGGUCACAGCAAAGGAAAUAUUUUGCAGGUGUUCUUGAUCAUUUACCUUGUCUUCUUCGCCGUUGUUCAUCUGGUCUCUCUUGCGGCGGAUGAGUUGGAACACGAAGUCAUCGAUCACCUUGAUGUUCCUCUUCAGCCGAGCCUCGAUGCCGACGUCGAGACGCCUUUUGACCUUCCACAAGACGUCGACGUACCUCCAGAACACGAUGGAGUUGGCGUCGUCGAAGGCCUCGCUGAAGCGAGCCCCCAACUCAUCCGAUCCCGAGAGGGUGUCGAGCUCAACGCCGAACCCCACCUUGAAGAUCGAGUCCAGCGUCGCCUUCAUCAGAAGAUCUUGCAUGUCGAAGACACUCGCGGUGGCGGCGGCGUCGGAGAUCUUCUGCGCCAGCUUUGCGGCGGUCGACCUGAACACGACGCUGCUGAAGUCCCGAAGGACUCUGGCGGAGAACUCGAAGCUGGCGAGCUUCCGCUGGUGGCGCCACUUCUCGCCGUCCACCGCGAAGAUCCCAUCGCCGAACAGAUCCCUCAUGACGGUAUAGUUGCCCUGCCCCUGGUGGCACGAUACACACACACACGCAUCAGAUGAUGAAGACCAAGAGCAGGGAGCAAGACGAGGAAGACGACCGGACCUUGCUGUACUUGGAGAAGUUGGUCUUCAGAACAUGCUCGACGUUGGCCGGAUCGGCCGUGUAGAUAUCGCUGUGAGGGGGUGCGAUCAGCCGAAAGGUCUUGUGCCGGCGAGCGACGGCGGUCUGGAAGUCGAAGACGGCGUUGAAGUGGAUCAGCAGGUGGAAGAUGGUGCCGGCGAUGGGAGGUCUGUUGGAACCUUGGAUCGACUCCUUGACGUAGAAGACGAUGAACAGUAGGAUCCAUCCGACAACGCACAAGAGUAGCCCUGCCAAGGCUGCUUUCAGAAGAUAGAACGCAAGGUGGAGGAGCAGAGAAGCCAUCAAGAUGAAGGAUAUGCCGAGAAAGUUUGCUGCCGGAGCAAGUUAGAUAUCCAUCUAAGGUGCGUCGACGUUGUCGUGUUGGAUCGUUCGUCAUAGCCAAUCAAGAACAAUACACAGGACAUACAA